rnacentral:rRNA from 1 species
GAUGAAUGCUGGCGGCGUGCCUAACACAUGCAAGUCGAGCGGCAGCGAGUUUUACACUGAAUUCUGGAAGCUUCUGAGUAGUAUAGAAGAUUUAUUCAAGAAUUUUGUGUAAAAUGUCGGCGAGCGGCGGACGGCUGAGUAACGCGUAGGAAUUUGCCCCAAAGUGAGGAAUAACUGCCCGAAAGGGUAGCUAAUGCCGCAUAUGGUCUUCGGAUUAAAGCCUUCGGGCGCUUUGGGAGAAGCCUGCGUUGGAUUAGGUAGUUGGUAGGGUAAUGGCCUACCAAGCCGACGAUCCAUAGCUGGUCUGAGAGGAUGAUCAGCCAGACUGGAACUGAGACACGGUCCAGACUCCUACGGGAGGCAGCAGUGAGGAAUCUUCCACAAUGGGCGAAAGCCUGAUGGAGCAACGCCGCGUGAAGGAUGAAGGCCUUCGGGUUGUAAACUUCUUUUAUGAGUGAAGAAUACGACGGUAACUCAUGAAUAAGCACCGGCUAACUACGUGCCAGCAGCCGCGGUCAUACGUAGGGUGCAAGCAUUAUCCGGAGUGACUGGGCGUAAAGAGUUCGUAGGCGGUUUAAUAAGUGAAUAGUGAAACCUGGUGGCUCAACCAUACAGACUAUUAUUCAAACUGUUAAACUCGAGAAUGGUAGAGGUAACUGGAAUUUCUAGUGUAGGAGUGAAAUCCGUAGAUAUUAGAAGGAACACCGAUGGCGUAGGCAGGUUACUGGGCCAUUUCUGGCGCUAAGGCACGAAAGCGUGGGGAGCGAACCGGAUUAGAUACCCGGGUAGUCCACGCCGUAAACGAUGGAUACUAGCUGUUGGAGGUAUCGACCCCUUCAGUAGCGAAGCUAACGCGUUAAGUAUCCCGCCUGUGGAGUACGGCCGCAAGGCUAAAACAUAAAGGAAUUGACGGGGACCCGCACAAGCGGUGGAUUAUGUUCUUUAAUUCGAUGAUAACCGAAGAACCUUACCAGGGCUUGACAUCCAGGGAAGGUCUGCGAAAGUAGACUGUGCCUUUUGGAACCCUGUGACAGGUGAUGCAUGGCCGUCGUCAGCUCGUGUCGUGAGAUGUUAGGUUAAGUCCUUCAACGAGCGCAACCCUUGUGAAUAGUUGUAUUUUUCUAUUCAGACUGCCCCGGUAACGGGGAGGAAGGAGGGGAUGAUGUCAGGUCAGUAUUUCCCUUACGUCCUGGGCUAGAAACGUAAUACAAUGGCUAGUACAAUGCGCAGCGAAGCCGCGAGGUGAAGCAAAUCGCAUCAAAGCUAGUCCCAGUUCGGAUUGUAGGCUGAAACUCGCCUGCAUGAAGUCGGAAUCGCUAGUAAUCGCAAAUCAGCAAGUUGCGGUGAAUACGUUCCCGGGUCU